UCGAUCUUGGCGUCGAGGUUCGCAAUAUAAACGGCGGCCAUUCUUUCCUUGCAGACGCUGCUUUUUUAUCUCAUUCUUCACGGUUUUCUUCUUUCUCUCUACGACUACCAUCCUCAAAUAUCACCAAAUUGGACCUUUGAAACUUGUAUUUGAUCCAGUGGUCUUCUGUGGCAAGGAAGGGUCCGUUGAUCGAAAAUGCCUUCGACCCGCUGCCUCUGCCUAGUGGUGUUCCAGUGCCUAUGUGUUUUUGUGGUGAUCCGUGCAAGGUAGUCAAGUCCGAUGAAGAGGACACGUACAUGCAGAGGUAUUGGAUGUGUGCUAACUAUAUUUAUCAGCCAACGAUUACUCAACGCCGCAUUAUCUUGAUGAAAGACAAGGAGUGAAUGAAGAAGCUAAAUAAGUGGGAGGAAGAGGACAAGGAGAUGAUGGAGAAGAAACAGAAGGAGCUUGCGGCGGAGAAAUAGCGAACAGAAGAGGUGGAAAAGAGGCGUGUUGCUGCUUACAAGGAGGAGAAGCAGAAGAAGCUUGAGCGUGCACGCCGUGUGAAGCAGCAAUGGAGGAGAACCCCAAUGCUUUCAAGAAGGGAAAGUGGCCUCGUUGCACUCAGUAGUCUCGUAGUUUGGGUAGUUUUAUAUUGAUUAAGUCUCGAACAAUGUUAUGUACUAAUGCACUUUUUACUAUCCUUUAAUUAGUGCACUCGAUAUUAUGGUUUUAUGUAUUGCAUCUUUUAGUA